GACGAACGCUGGCGGCGUGCUUAACACAUGCAAGUCGAACGGAAAGGCCCUGCUUUUGUGGGGUGCUCGAGUGGCGAACGGGUGAGUAACACGUGAGUAACCUGCCCUUGACUUUGGGAUAACUUCAGGAAACUGGGGCUAAUACCGGAUAGGAGCUCCUGCUGCAUGGUGGGGGUUGGAAAGUUUCGGCGGUUGGGGAUGGACUCGCGGCUUAUCAGCUUGUUGGUGGGGUAGUGGCUUACCAAGGCUUUGACGGGUAGCCGGCCUGAGAGGGUGACCGGCCACAUUGGGACUCAGAUACGGCCCAGACUCCUACGGGAGGCAGCAGUGGGGAAUAUUGCACAAUGGGCGGAAGCCUGAUGCAGCAACGCCGCGUGCGGGAUGACGGCCUUCGGGUUGUAAACCGCUUUCGCCUGUGACGAAGCGUGAGUGACGGUAAUGGGUAAAGAAGCACCGGCUAACUACGU
rnacentral:rRNA from 1 species